GGAUCCCCCAUUUUCUCGCUUCACUUGUAUGCGACAGCCUGACCGCAACCAUGUGCAACCCGAAAGCCAAGCACUCCUGCUCUGUCGUCGGAUGCACGGACACUCAUGUUUCCCUACAUUGCCUUCCUACCAAAGAGGAUAUCAGAGCGAAGUGGCUAAAUUUUAUUUUUCAGGGAAACGUCCCAGCUUCACUGAGCAAAAGCGUUGUUGUCUGUGCCAAUCACUUCACACCGGACUGUUUCAGCAACCAGGGUCAGUAUCAGGCUGGACUGGCAACGAGAUUGUUCCUCAAAGAUGGAUCAAUACGCACUGUCCGUGUCAAUGCCACAGAAGAAGAAACUCCAAGCACAUCUGUACAGCAGUCUGUAGUGCAUCAUGUUGCCUGCCAGACAGACCAACCAGUGAAAUGCACGGUUGGCACACAGCUUUCCAUGAGAACUUUCCGGCCUCACUUCAGAAGCACAGACUCUACCUGACUGCCCUGCAUUACAAUGAAAAUACUGACUGACCACAGGCAACAUCUACAGGUGGAGAGCUGCUGUACAGUCAACCUCCCCAAAUCUAACCAUGGAGAAUGAACUGCAAAGCCUGUGAAAGCAGAGCCAACAUUCCACUACAUUGAUGCACUGUUGGACCUGAUCUUCGAGAAGAUUUUCCAGGACCCUGGCCCACAUGUGAACGAGGUGCUGAAACUUACAAUCCCUGAAGACCUCUCGGCUCAUUAUGAAAGACCCAACAAGCUGGACGUUAUAGCCAGUUACGUGCCAAGGUUCAAUCAAGGACAGGACUGAACCUAACAUACUGUGCUUCAGCGUCGGGGAAAUCUGCAUGAAUCCUCAGCACCGGCAGGCAGCACAGCUCUCACUCUUCGCCCCAGAAAGCACCAGCACCAGCUUACAAAGCUUCUGUAGGCUAGGUAUCUAUAUUGGCUGGACACAAUUCAGUAGAAAGUCAGCACUGAAUGUUCACA